UUGUCUCUGAUGUUUGUUGGUCGACCGGCCUUGUGUUUUUGUUCUGGAGCUGAUAAUCCAAUGAAAUAUUUGACGGCGCUACCUUCAUCAUCGCUCAUGUGUCCAUGUUGUGCUCCUUGGAAGAGAGUCAGUUCUGUACCUUUUGUCUUCUUCAUUUCAAUCAUGUGUUGCAAACCCAAACCAUCAUGCUCAGCAGCUAAAUAUGUUAGUUUAUCCAUUGCUGCCCUAAGAGUUCCAUCGCACAAUCAUAUGCAAUUGGAUUUGCAUCACCAAGUUUUACAACCUCUAAAGCAUGUGUAUAAAAAUUUGAAUGUCUGCUGAAAUCUUGUCUCUUUGUAGGUGUGACAAGUGGGUUGGAAGUAUAUCUCUUGCAUCUUUUGUCCACCUUUUGAGGAUAUGCUUUGAUGGAAUUUUGUCUAUACCCAAGAAAUCAAGAACCUGCAAUGCAAUUUUAAAUUGUUGAGUAUAUACGGUUUUUUGAAGCAAGCCUGAACACUGAUCCUACAAUUUUUGUCUCAAUAUGGUGAUUCUGUACCUUAACUGAACGGCAGCAUACAGUCAUGUGCGCUUGAAGUUACCACAUUCACAUGAGAGUUCUUCAUCCUCAGCGACAACAUGCACUAUGUAGUAUGUACAGUACUCUACACUACUUCUCGUAUCUCUCUGGGUGGUACCGGUGUAAGUAAUAUUUCGAACCAUUUUUAACUUCUACCCUGUAUUGUCCUGCUUCAUACAGGACCUCACCAAAAUUCUCAAACAUAGCUCGAGUGUAGAUCCUGCUAGCGUGGAACUCCAGUGGUGUGUUCACCUUGUACAUAAAAAUUUUCUUUGUUAGUUUCU
rnacentral:lncRNA from 1 species